CUUACAGAGAGAGAGAGAGAGAGAGAGUAGAGAGAGAGAGAGAGAGGUCUCUGCGUCUGCUCCUGCUCGCCCUGCCUGGUUGAUAUAGAGGGUCGAGAUCGGUGCUUCCUCUGCGGUGGUUGGAUUUUGUGUUGAUUCCUGAGCGUGGCUGGUGGAGCGGCCGGAGGAGAUCGGCUGCAAGAAGCAAUCCGGGAGGGAGGACAGAAGACGGAGGCCUAGUGGUGCUCGACGAGGUUUUUUUCUUCGUCCUUUUUUCUACUCUCUCUCAUCGGAAUUUUCGUGUUGCAAUUCAAUUGGGACCUGGAUCCCCGGGGUCCUUGCUCAUUUCAAACGCGAGUUCUGUCUGGGGUAGCAGCCGGUGACGAUAACGACACCGGUGCUUGACGGACGUGGUCAGGAUUCCGAUUGAACAUGCUUGUCAGUCGUACCAUAUCCGAUCCCUCCUCUUGGUUGAAUAGGCGCCGCUAUCUUUUUUUUCUUCCGGUUUCUGUCGCGAGGAUUAGCUCCUAAUACUGACUUCAGGCGUUUGGGAUCCCCUUUGUUCCUUAUGAAAUUAUUGGCUUGCCCGGGAUUCCGUUCGUCAUCGUUGUUUAUUUUCCUUUGGUCUCUUAUUCGGUAUGGUAUCUUCGUUGUGAUAUCUUUAUAUUACGAGGGGUUUUGCGCAGAGGCUCGCUGAUUUGCUUUUAUCUAUGUUUCUUCUCUCCGAUGAGUCUAUGACAAGAGGGCAUAUAAUUCCGCUUGAAUUGAGUAUCAAAAGAAUUCAAUCGCUCGGAGCAUCAUUUGUGAAUACCUUUUGUCUCCCUACACACGCAGGGACAGCUUGAUACAUUGUUAUCAAUCCCCAUACACGCCUAGUCAUAGUCAAGCCUUCCUCACAGGACAUAAAAAAAUGAGAAGAGGAUUAACUUCAAAGAAUUUAACUGAUCAUACAUACACUCACAUGUGGAAGAAAGUAUGUAAGGGUGAAAGAAAUUUUCUGAAGGUUCUUUCAGUUGAGAAGAUCUUGGACAGCUUCUGACGAUCAGUCCUUUGCCAAAUUAUUUUGUCUACUUCGCCAAACUAUUUGAAGUUUUCUGCAUGCCAAUAAUGAUUUCCUAAUUUUCGAGUAACAUUAGGGCCAUCUUUCCUCAUACUCUCGUUUUUGGCAUGCUAUUGUAAAGUAGCCGAAAUAGAUAUAUUCGAGUUUCUAGGAUGCCAAAGGCUUCUGUGCUUCCAGGAGUCGAAGAGGUUGGUCCGAACUUCCUGUUGAUUGAAAUAUUCCAUGUGACCAUCGAGUACAAUUUUCAUUUUAGGAAAAUUUGUUCCUUUUUCUAUCCUUAAAAUACUGCAUUUUCCAUAUCCCAUUAAGACAGAUAUUGGGAAAUUGUAAGAGCUCCAAUUUCCCUGUCCACGUGGAGGAAAUUCCUGUUUUUGGAGAGAGAGAGGAACUUCUAGUUUCCUACUCUUGUAAUUAUUGUGCCGAAUGACUGUUUUCGGAUGGGCUGCUUUGAUCAUCCUUGAUGUUUAUUGGUCACUAUCCAAAAAAGACUUUUCUAAAAUUUCUAGUAAACUGUCCUCCAUAGUGACAUCCGUUUCUGCUUAAUCACAUGUAACCUUUUAUUGCUUCUGUUCUUCCCCUUGCUCUGAGUGACACUUGGAAGAAAGUUUUGACUAGUCCGAUUAAUUUCAUAUCAAGUAGGAGGGAAUAUAGGAUACAAACAUCAUGCGUAGGGAGUCUAGAGAUUGUGAGAUUCACGAUUGUGAUCCCCUCUAGGCAUGCCUAUAAUGUGGAGGCAUUCUCAAAUGAGAAACUGUGGAUUCCCAAAGCUGUAGCUUGUUCUUUGUGCUAGGGACUCUGGCUUCUGUUGGGAUUUGUUCACUCCUGCUUUGGCUCAUUUUGCAAAUUUAAGACUUGGCUCUGGUAAUUGGGAAGCCUUUUAGAGUAAAAAGGGAUUUUCAAUGGGGUCAUCAUUAGCUUUACAGGAUUUUUCCUUGUUACAUGCAGAGUGAUAAUGCAGAGCAAUUCAACUAAUUGUUUACCAUUUGGAUGAAGUACUUCAACUCAGAUCUGGUUAAAGUGCUUGGCAACAAGUCUGGCAUACUUUCGUUCUUGCUGUGGAUGAUUUUGCGAAUUCAUACCCAAAAAAAGUUAUCUUUUGAAUGCCCGUCAUUGUGAAAACCAGUCUCAGCAAUUUCCCAUCUUCAGCUUGACAGGUCAGCUGUAUUAUUCAUAGAUGCAGAUUGGAAAUAUGGAGCCAUGUUAAUUAAUGGCUGACCAUUAUACUUACCUCCGCUAAGAUUUAAGAUUUUCUGGCUUGGUUCCGAGAAGGAGCGGAAGAAACACACCCACUUUUUUUGUAAGAACGCGAAAAUGAGUGAUAAUCGCGCAAUGCCGGUGCUCAUUGAUCCAUUUUUGAAGAAAUCAUCCUGCUUUGAAGAAUAAAUUCCACGUUAAAAUUUUAUGUUUUUUUCCUAAAAUCUACCUUCUUGAUGACACAUUAUGGCCUACCUUUUCCUAUUCUUCUUCAAUCAUUUGCGUGGAAUCAUGAAAUUUCUAGUGUCAACCAUCUCUAUGAGGUCCAUCUGAUUACUAGUAUCUUGCAUAGUUGGUUGAUGCAAUCUCACCUGCUCAUGACUCUUUGGCCAAAAAGCACCAUAAAUUUUUGACACGACCACAAUCCCUGAGUCAACGUGAAUUCAAAGAUGAAUGCUUGAAUCUAUGCUCUAAUCGAAAAUAUUUUUGAGCUCCUCCUCAUGCGCAACAUGUAAAGGAUGCCGGUUUUCCACUAUGAUUAGAAGCAUAAUCAUCCCCAUGAUUGAACUUGUCAUGCGAUAUUUAUUGGCUGUUUAUUCCAUUUCAUCGCAAACUUUAUGGAACAACCACGUUUAUGAAUCAUAUGAGACUCAUAUCUGUGCCAUUCAUUGUCUAGGAUCUUCCUCAGCGCGCAGGAGCCGCCGCCAAUCCCCAUGUGAGCGCCAUCCCUGAUCGAGACCGAUCCGCCCGGCCUGCUCCCCUUCCAUCUCUUCCGGAAGAAAAGCUUCCAUAAAAGGAAAAAUAAAUGAUCUCAAAUUCGAGCCCCUCGAAGACCUUCACACCCCCCGAGACCU
rnacentral:lncRNA from 1 species